CAGUAGCCACGGGAAUACGGAGGGUGCAAGCGUUAAUCAGAAUUACUGGGCGUAAAGCGCACGCAGGCGGUUUGUUAAGUCAGAUGUGAAAUCCCCGAGCUUAACUUGGGAACUGCAUUUGAAACUGGCAAGCUAGAGUCUUGUAGAGGGGGGUAGAAUUCCAGGUGUAGCGGUGAAAUGCGUAGAGAUCUGGAGGAAUACCGGUGGCGAAGGCGGCCCCCUGGACAAAGACUGACGCUCAGGUGCGAAAGCGUGGGGAGCAAACAGGAUUAGAUACCCGCGUAGUCCCUGUCUCUUAUAC
rnacentral:rRNA from 1 species